rnacentral:rRNA from 1 species
CCGCCAUGGCCCCGGGAUUAGUUUGAUCCUGGCUCAGAUUGAACGCUGGCGGCAUGCCUUACACAUGCAANUCGAACGGCAGCGGGGACUUCGGUCCGCCGGCGAGUGGCGAACGGGUGAGUAAUGCAUCGGAACGUGCCUAUCAGUGGGGGAUAACGCUUCGAAAGGAGUGCUAAUACCGCAUAUUCUCCGAGGAGGAAAGCAGGGGACCUUCGGGCCUUGCGCUGAUAGAGCGGCCGAUGUCGGAUUAGCUAGUUGGUGAGGUAAAGGCUCACCAAGGCGACGAUCUGUAGCGGGUCUGAGAGGAUGAUCCGCCACACUGGAACUGAGACACGGUCCAGACUCCUACGGGAGGCAGCAGUGGGGAAUUUUGGACAAUGGGGGCAACCCUGAUCCAGCCAUGCCGCGUGAGUGAAGAAGGCCUUCGGGUUGUAAAGCUCUUUCGGCUGGGAAGAAAUCGCACAGGCUAAUACUCUGUGUGGAUGACGGUACCAGCACAAGAAGCACCGGCUAACUACGUGCCAGCAGCCGCGGUAAUACGUAGGGUGCGAGCGUUAAUCGGAAUUACUGGGCGUAAAGCGUGCGCAGGCGGUUGUGCAAGACAGAUGUGAAAUCCCCGGGCUCAACCUGGGAACUGCAUUUGUGACUGCACGACUAGAGUACGGCAGAGGGGGGUAGAAUUCCACGUGUAGCAGUGAAAUGCGUAGAGAUGUGGAGGAAUACCGAUGGCGAAGGCAGCCCCCUGGGCCGAUACUGACGCUCAUGCACGAAAGCGUGGGGAGCAAAGAGGAUUAGAUACCCUGGUAGUCC